GGCUCAGAUUGAACGCUGGCGGCAUGCCUUACACAUGCAAGUCGAACGGCAGCGGACCGUUCGGGUGCCGGCGAGUGGCGAACGGGUGAGUAAUAUAUCGGAACGUACCUUCAGUGGGGGAUAACGUAGCGAAAGUUACGCUAAUACCGCAUAUUCUGUGAGCAGGAAAGCAGGGGAUCGCAAGACCUUGCGCUGAUUGAGCGGCCGAUAUCAGAUUAGCUAGUUGGUGAGGUAAAGGCUCACCAAGGCGACGAUCUGUAGCGGGUCUGAGAGGAUGAUCCGCCACACUGGAACUGAGACACGGUCCAGACUCCUACGGGAGGCAGCAGUGGGGAAUUUUGGACAAUGGGCGCAAGCCUGAUCCAGCCAUGCCGCGUGAGUGAAGAAGGCCUUCGGGUUGUAAAGCUCUUUCGGCCGGGAAGAAAUCGCACAGGUUAAUACCCUGUGUGGAUGACGGUACCGGAAUAAGAAGCACCGGCUAACUACGUG
rnacentral:rRNA from 1 species